rnacentral:rRNA from 1 species
UAAUACGUAGGGGGCGAGCGUUGUCCGGAUUUAUUGGGCGUAAAGAGCUCGUAGGCGGCUUGGCAAGUCGGGUGUGAAACCUCCAGGCUCAACCUGGAGACGCCACUCGAUACUGCUAUGGCUAGAGUCCGGUAGGGGACCACGGAAUUCCUGGUGUAGCGGUGAAAUGCGCAGAUAUCAGGAGGAACACCGGUGGCGAAGGCGGUGGUCUGGGCCGGCACUGACGCUGAGGAGCGAAAGCGUGGGUAGCAAACAGGAUUAGAUACCCUGGUAGUCCACGCCGUAAACGUUGGGCACUAGGUGUGGGGCCUUAUCAACGGGUUCCGUGCCGUAGCUAACGCAUUAAGUGCCCCGCCUGGGGAGUACGGCCGCAAGGCU